rnacentral:tRNA from 1 species
AGCUUUAUAGUCAAUUAUGAUAUUAGACUGCAAUUCUAAAGGAGGAAGGGUUUCUUUUCUAAGGCUU